AACGAACGCUGGCGGCGUGCCUAACACAUGCAAGUCGAACGAGAAAGUCACUUCGGUGGCGAGUAAAGUGGCGCACGGGUGAGUAACACGUAGGUGACCUGCCCUUUAGUCUGGAAUAACUAGGAGAAAUCUUGGCUAAUACCGGAUACGCAGAGCAACUUUGGAAGGAGCUCUGGAAAGAAUGCCUCUGCAUAUGCAUUCGCUAAAGGAUGGGCCUGCGGGACAUUAGCUUGAUGGUGGGGUAAUGGCCUACCAUGGCUGCGAUGUCUAGCCGGAUUGAGAGAUUGAUCGGCCACACUGGGACUGAGACACGGCCCAG
rnacentral:rRNA from 1 species